AUUGAACGCUGGCGGCAGGCUUAACACAUGCAAGUCGAGCGGGGUGAUGGUGCUUGCACUAUCACUUAGCGGCGGACGGGUGAGUAAUGCUUAGGAAUCUGCCUAUUAGUGGGGGACGACAUCUCGAAAGGGAUGCUAAUACCGCAUACGUCCUACGGGAGAAAGCAGGGGAUCACUUGUGACCUUGCGCUAAUAGAUGAGCCUAAGUCGGAUUAGCUAGUUGGUGGGGUAAAGGCCCACCAAGGCGACGAUCUGUAGCGGGUCUGAGAGGAUGAUCCGCCACACUGGGACUGAGACACGGCCCAGACUCCUACGGGAGGCAGCAGUGGGGAAUAUUGGACAAUGGGGGGAACCCUGAUCCAGCCAUGCCGCGUGUGAAGAAGGCCUUAUGGUUGUAAAGCACUUUAAGCGAGGAGGAGGCUCUUUUGGUUAAUACCCAAGAUGAGUGGACGUUACUCGCAGAAUAAGCACCGGCUAACUCUGUGCCAGCAGCCGCCGUAA
rnacentral:rRNA from 1 species